rnacentral:lncRNA from 1 species
CACCAUGAACGACAAAGAGAUCGACAAGCAGUGUAACGUCUACAAUCUGAGGAAGUACCAUGCGUGACCUCCAACUUCAUCAAAGCACAAAGAGUCAAGUAACUCGAUGGGCACCAUCUUGCAAGUCGAUGACUAUCUAGUUGUUAUGCAGUUUCUACCUUCUAGCAAAGUUGAUACAUUUUUUUGAAGAUCGAAUAAGUCAUUCACAAGCCUAGCUCAACUAUAUGC